rnacentral:rRNA from 1 species
UACAACUUUGUUCAGGUUUCCGAACAGUAAAAGUAACUUAUUCUGCUUCUAAAAUUCUUAGUGAGAGCGCCGUAAUAUAAUGUGUUUAUAAAGCAGGCCGUUCCGUGGGGCUACUACGGAGGCGAAACUACACAGUGUUCGUGUUGCUGGCCUGUAAAGCGAGUAAGGUCUAAAGGGUUCUCUAUCCUUAUUCCCUUUGUUCGCCGGAAGCUCUA